AGUAGAGCGGCGACGGGUGAGUAACGCGUAGGAAUCUACCUGGUAGUGGGGGAUAACUUGGGGAAACCCAAGCUAAUACCGCAUACGCCCUAAGGGGGAAAGCGGGGGAUCUUCGGACCUCGCGCUAUCGGAUGAGCCUGCGUAGGAUUAGCUUGUUGGUGAGGUAAAGGCUCACCAAGGCGACGAUCCUUAGCUGGUCUGAGAGGAUGAUCAGCCACACCGGGACUGAGACACGGCCCGG
rnacentral:rRNA from 1 species